CCUACGGGAGGCAGCAGCGGGGAAUAUUGGACAAUGGGGGGAACCCUGAUCCAGCCAUGCCGCGUGUGUGAAGAAGGCCCUCGGGUUGUAAAGCACUUUCAGUGAGGAAGAACGCCUGGUGGUUAAUACCCAUCAGGAAAGACAUCACUCACAGAAGAAGCACCGGCUAACUCCGUGCCAGCAGCCGCGGUAAUACGGAGGGUGCGAGCGUUAAUCGGAAUUACUGGGCGUAAAGGGCGCGUAGGUGGCUUGAUAAGCCGGUUGUGAAAGCCCCGGGCUCAACCUGGGAACGGCAUCCGGAACUGUCAAGCUAGAGUGCAGGAGAGGAAGGUAGAAUUCCCGGUGUAGCGGUGAAAUGCGUAGAGAUCGGGAGGAAUACCAGUGGCGAAGGCGGCCUUCUGGACUGACACUGACACUGAGGUGCGAAAGCGUGGGUAGCAAACAGGAUUAGAUACCCCUGUAGUC
rnacentral:rRNA from 1 species